CCCUUAGAUGUCCUGGGCCGCACGCGCGUUACACUGAUGCAUUCAACGAGCUUAUAACCUUGGCCGAGAGGCCUGGGCAAUCUUGUUAACGUGCAUCGUGAUAGGGAUAGAUUAUUGAAAUUAUUAAGCUUGAACGAGGAAUUCCUAGUAAACGCAGAUCAUCAAUCUGCAUUGAUUACGUCCCUGCCCUUUGUACACACCGCCCGUCGCACCUACCGAUUGGAUGGUCCGGUGAAGCCUCGGGAUUGUGGUUCUUGCCGCUUUAUUGUGGCGUGACCGCGAGAACUUGUCUAAACCUUAUCAUCUAGAGGAAGGUGAAGUCGUAACA
rnacentral:rRNA from 1 species